rnacentral:rRNA from 1 species
AUUGAACGCUGGCGGCAUGCCUUACACAUGCAAGUCGAACGGCAGCGGACCUUCGGGUGCCGGCGAGUGGCGAACGGGUGAGUAAUGCAUCGGAACGUACCUUUCAGUGGGGGAUAACGUAGCGAAAGUUACGCUAAUACCGCAUAUUCUGUGAGCAGGAAAGCAGGGGAUCGCAAGACCUUGCGCUGAUUGAGCGGCCGAUGUCAGAUUAGCUAGUUGGUGAGGGAAAGGCUCACCAAGGCGACGAUCUGUAGCGGGUCUGAGAGGAUGAUCCGCCACACUGGGACUGGGACACGCCCCAGACUCCUACGGGAGGCAGCAGUGGGGAAUUUUGGACAAUGGGAGCAACCCUGAUCCAGCCAUGCCGCGUGAGUGAAGAAGGCCUUCGGGUUGUAAAGCUCUUUCGGCCGGGAAGAAAUCGCACAGGCUAAUACCUUGUGUGGAUGACGGUACCGGAAUAAGAAGCACCGGCUAACUACGUGCCAGCCGCCGCCGUAAUAC